UACGGAGGGUGCAAGCGUUGUUCGGAUUCACUGGGCGUAAAGGGUGCGUAGGCGGUCGGGUAAGUCUGAUGUGAAAUCUCACAGCUUAACUGUGAAACUGCAUUGGAUACUAUUCGGCUAGAGAGUUGGAGGGGGGACUGGAAUUCUUGGUGUAGCAGUGAAAUGCGUAGAUAUCAAGAGGAACACCAGUGGCGAAGGCGAGUCCCUGGACAACUUCUGACGCUGAGGCACGAAAGCUAGGGGAGCAAACAGG
rnacentral:rRNA from 1 species